AAUGUAAAGCCAGUAUGAAAAAAUGGUAUACUUUGUGGAUAUAAAAUUAAGUAAAGAUGGAGUAAUUGAAGAAUGCCAUUGCGAUUGUGCUGCAGGCAGUGGUACUCAAGCAUGUUGCAAACAUGUCUCUGUAUUGUUGGAUGACAUGUGAACCCGCUAAAAUCCACAUGGCAUUGAAUGGGAUCGUUACACCUAUGUAGAUAGGACUCCAAUAGAUAUUUUACUAGAGAAGCUAUUAUUAAAAAUAUUAUAUCUGAACAAAUUCAGGAAGUGAGAAGAAUACAAGAGCCCAAAGUGAUUCCUCUGAGUGGCAUGAAAGAUCAUGCAGGAUUACUGCCAGUAUGUUUCAUUUAGUGUGCCACAGUAAAGCAUAUAAGUACCAAAAAUAUAUGUAAUCGAUAUGAUUUUGGCCCCUAAAGCUGUGCAGACUAUGUUAGUUGUGCAUAGUAAAAUCCAAGAAACUAUUUCCAUUGCCAAAUAUGAUAGAGAUUAUGGACUAAAAAUAAAAAAAGUGGAUUCAUUAUAUCAUUUGAAUAUCCUUUUCUGGCUGUUUCUCCAGACGGUAUAUUGGGUAAAGAUACUAUUGUUGAGGUUAAGUGUCCAUAUGCUGCUAGAUAUUAUAAAAUAACCUCUGUGACUGUGCCUUACUUAAAAUACUUAAUGGAGAAUUACAUUUAAAAAGCAGCAUCCAUAUUAUGCCCAAAUCCAAGGCCAACUUUAUUGUUCGGGACGCAAUAUUGCAAUUUUAUUGUUUACACAUUUGAGGAUAUGAAAAUAAUAUUCAUUAAUAGAGAUGACUCAUUUAUUAAUGGCAUGUUGACAAAUUUGUUAAACUUUUAUGUACAUAAUUUAGAACCAGAAAUGUAAAUAAGUAUGUGUAUAAGAACUAUUUACAAUUAAUAAAUAAAUUGAAAUAA